GAUGAACGCUGGCGGCGUGCCUAACACAUGCAAGUUGAGCGAGAAGCUCCUGAUUGAAACUUCGGUAGAUUGAAGGAGUGGAAAGCGGCGGACGGGUAAGUAACGCGUGGGCAACCUGCCUCACACUGAGGGAUAGCCUCGGGAAACCGGGAUUAAAACCUCAUAAUGCCUUUGGAUCACAUGAAACAAAGGUGAAAGAUUUAUCGGUGUGAGAUGGGCCUGCGUCUGAUUAGUUAGUUGGUAGGGUAACGGCCUACCAAGGCAGCGAUCAGUAGCCGACCUGAGAGGGUUAACGGCCACAUUGGAACUGAGACACGGUCCAAACUCCUACGGGAGGCAGCAGUGGGGAAUAUUGCACAAUGGGCGAAAGCCUGAUGCAGCAACGCCGCGUGAGCGAAGAAGGCCCUUGGGUCGUAAAGCUCUGUCCAUGGGGAAGAUAAUGACGGUACCCGUGGAGGAAG
rnacentral:rRNA from 1 species